UGGUUGAUCCUGCCAGUAGUCAUAUGCUUGUCUCAAAGAUUAAGCCAUGCAUGUCUCAGUACAAGCCAGAUUAAGGUGAAACCGCGAAAGGCUCAUUAAAUCAGUUAUGGUUCCUUAGAUCGUACCCACAUUUACUUGGAUAACUGUGGUAAUUCUAGAGCUAAUACAUGCAAACAGAGCUCCGACCGGAUACGGAAGGAGUGCUUUUAUUAGAUCAAGGCCAAUCGGCGGCGGGCGCGUUCGCUCGCGUCCGUUUGCCGCUCAACCUGGUGACUCUGAAUAACUUUCGGCUGAUCGCACGGUCUCGCACCGGCGACGCAUCUUUCAAAUGUCUGCCUUAUCAACUGUCGAUGGUAGGUUCUGCGCCUACCAUGGUCGUAACGGGUAACGGGGAAUCAGGGUUCGAUUCCGGAGAGGGAGCCUGAGAAACGGCUACCACAUCCAAGGAAGGCAGCAGGCGCGCAAAUUACCCACUCCCGGCACGGGGAGGUAGUGACGAAAAAUAACGAUACGGGACUCAUCCGAGGCCCCGUAAUCGGAAUGAGUACACUUUAAAUCCUUUAACGAGGAUCAAUUGGAGGGCAAGUCUGGUGCCAGCAGCCGCGGUAAUUCCAGCUCCAAUAGCGUAUAUUAAAGUUGUUGCGGUUAAAAAGCUCGUAGUUGAAUCUGUGUCUCGCGCUGUCGGUUCACCGCCCGCGGUGUUAAACUGGCACGCCCGCGAGACGUCCUGCCGGUGGGCGCGCGGUGCGGAACGUCAACGGCGCCCGUGCCGCGUCCCGACUUGAUAACCUGCCACGGUGCUUUUUAACGAGUGUCGAGGUGGGCCGGCACGUUUACUUUGAACAAAUUAGAGUGCUCAAAGCAGGCUAAAACUUCGCCUGAAUACUGUGUGCAUGGAAUAAUGGAACAGGACCUCGGUUCUAUUUUGUUGGUUUUAGGAMCACCGAGGUAAUGAUUAAUAGGGACAGAUGGGGGCAUUCGUAUUGCGACGUUAGAGGUGAAAUUCUUGGAUCGUC
rnacentral:rRNA from 1 species